AGAGUUUGAUCCUGGCUCAGAACGAACACUGGCGGCGUGCCUCAUACAUGCAAGUCGAACGCGAUAGCUCCCUUCGGGGGGUGUGUAGAGUGGCGGACGGGUGAGUAACACGUGAAUAACCUGCCUCCAUGAUUGGGAUAACCAUUCCAACGAGUGGCUAAUACCGAAUGUAGUGUUUCUGCUGCAUGGCUGAAACAUUAAAGGCGGUUCGGGGCUUGCCUUGAGCUGCCGCAGGGAGAUGGGUUCGCGUACCAUUAGCUUGUUGGCGGGGUAAUGGCCCACCAAGGCUAUGAUGGUUAGCCGGCCUGAGAGGGUGACCGGCCACACUGGGACUGAGAUACGGCCCAGACUCCUACGGGAGGCAGCAGUAGGGAAUUUUGCGCAAUGGGCGAAAGCCUGACGCAGCAACGCCGCGUGGACGAUGAAGUAUUUCGGUACGUAAAGUCCUUUCAUGAGGGAAGAAUCCCCCUUGGGUGAAUAGCCUUUGGGGCUGACGGUACCUCGGGAAGAAGCCUCGGCUAACUCCGUGCCAGCAGCCGCGGUAAUACGGGGGAGGCAAGUGUUGUUCGGAUUCACUGGGCGUAAAGGGAGCGUAGGUGGAGUUUUAAGUCAGAUGUUUAAUUCAGAGGCUUAACCUCUGCUUUGCAUUUGAUACUGAAGCUCUUGAGUAUGGGAGAGGGUGAUGGAAUUCUAGGUGUAGCGGUGGAAUGCGUUGAUAUCUGGAAGAACACCAAUUGCGAAGGCAGUCACCUGGCCCAAUACUGACACUGAGGCUCGAAAGCUAGGGGAGCAAACAGGAUUAGAUACCCUGGUAGUCCUAGCCGUAAACGAUGGACACUAGGUGUUGGAGGAAUCAAUCCCUUCAGUGCCGGAGCUAACGCAUUAAGUGUCCCGUCUGGGGAGUAUGCUCGCAAGGGUGAAACUCAAAGGAAUUGACGGGGGCCCGCACAAGCGGUGGAGCAUGUGGUUCAAUUCGACGAUACGCGAGGAACCUUACCUGGGUUUGACAUGGGAGUGAGCGGUCUAGAGAUAGACCUUUCCUUCGGGACACUCUACACAGGUGCUGCAUGGCUGUCGUCUGCUCGUGUCGUGAGAUGUUGGGUUAAGUCCCGCAACGAGCGUAACCCUCGUCCAUAGUUGCCAUCAGGUAAUGCUGGGAACUCUAUGGAGACUGCCCCGAAUAACGGGGAGGAAGGUGGGGAUGACGUCAAGUCCUCAUGGCCCUUACGCCCAGGGCAACACACGUGCUACAAUGGGCUGUACAGUGGGUUGCAAAACCGCGAGGUGGAGCUAAUCCCUAAAAGCAGUCCUCAGUUCGGAUUGCAGUCUGCAACUCGACUGCAUAAAGGUGGAAUCGCUAGUAAUCGCGGAUCAGCAUGCCGCGGUGAAUACGUUAUCGGGCCUUGUACACACCGCCCGUCAAACCACGAAAGAGAGGGGUACUCAAAGUAGUUGCCUUAACCCGCAAGGGAUAGGUGCUAUUAAAGUAAAAUUCUCGAUUGGGGCUAAGUCGUAACAAGGUAACC
rnacentral:rRNA from 1 species